rnacentral:tRNA from 1 species
GCCGGAGUGGUGGAACUGGCAUUCACGCACGACUCAAAAUCGUGUGGCCGCAAGGCCGUGUGGGUUCGAAUCCCACCUCCGGCACCA